AAAUUGAAGAGUUUGAUCAUGGCUCAGAUUGAACGCUGGCGGCAGGCCUAACACAUGCAAGUCGAACGGUAACAGGAAGAAGCUUGCUUCUUUGCUGACGAGUGGCGGACGGGUGAGUAAUGUCUGGGAAACUGCCUGAUGGAGGGGGAUAACUACUGGAAACGGUAGCUAAUACCGCAUAACGUCGCAAGACCAAAGAGGGGGACCUUCGGGCCUCUUGCCAUCGGAUGUGCCCAGAUGGGAUUAGCUAGUAGGUGGGGUAACGGCUCACCUAGGCGACGAUCCCUAGCUGGUCUGAGAGGAUGACCAGCCACACUGGAACUGAGACACGGUCCAGACUCCUACGGGAGGCAGCAGUGGGGAAUAUUGCACAAUGGGCGCAAGCCUGAUGCAGCCAUGCCGCGUGUAUGAAGAAGGCCUUCGGGUUGUAAAGUACUUUCAGCGGGGAGGAAGGGAGUAAAGUUAAUACCUUUGCUCAUUGA
rnacentral:rRNA from 1 species